rnacentral:rRNA from 1 species
UACAGAGGUCUCAAGCGUUGUUCGGAUUCAUUGGGCGUAAAGGGUGCGUAGGUGGCGUCGUAAGUCGGGUGUGAAAUUUCGGAGCUUAACUCCGAAACUGCAUUCGAUACUGCGGUGCUUGAGGACUGGAGAGGAGACUGGAAUUUACGGUGUAGCAGUGAAAUGCGUAGAGAUCGUAAGGAAGACCAGUGGCGAAGGCGGGUCUCUGGACAGUUCCUGA